AUUGAACGCUGGCGGCAGGCUUAACACAUGCAAGUCGAACGAGUGGCGGACGGGUGAGUAAUGCUUGGGAAUCUAGCUUAUGGAGGGGGAUAACUACGGGAAACUGUAGCUAAUACCGCGUACCCUAAGAUGAGCCCAAGGGGGAUUGGGUAUUUGGUGAGGUAAAGGCUCACCCAGCCGACGAUCCCUAGCUGGUCUGAGAGGCUGACCAGCCACACUGGGACUGAGACACGGCCCAGACUCCUACGGGAGGCAGCAGUGGGGAAGAUUGCGCAAUGGGGGCAACCUGAUGCAGCCAUGCCGCGUGAAUGAAGAAGGCCUUCGGGUUGUAAAGUUCUUUCGGUAGCGAGGCGUUAACUACAGAAGAAGCACCGGCUAACUCCGUGCCAGCCGCCGCGGUAAUAC
rnacentral:rRNA from 1 species